UGUAAAAAAGCUGCGUGUUGAAUCUAUGAUCAGAAUGAAAUGUUCUUACGCCUUGCUGGUAUCGCUACCCAUUUUGUUUGGUUUAACAGGUGGGAGACCUGUGUCACCAGACUGUGGCAUCCAGUGUGUUGGUUCUCUACCUCAGUGUAAUCUUCCACGACUAUUCGGUUUCCCGAAAUGCACCACACAGCUUGACAACUGCAAGUUCAACAAGCCGCGCCCUUUCAGACCAGGAGUGAUUAUGCUUGGCGAACCUGAAUGUUAUUAGAGAAACUCUUCGAUCGGGUGUGGAGAGGUAUCUGCCUUCCGAGCACCAGAAUGAAGAGAGAUGUUGUUGCGUCACGCUAGCGUGUAACGCCUCCAGUUAAUUCAAACGCGACGUAUCUACGACCCGAAGACGAGAACUCUAAACUAAGUUCCGGGGACUUAACCUUUAAAUUCCCAUGAGUGACCAUAAGAAAAUUUCUCCGUACAAUAUCAACACAAUAUCCAGCGGACAAGUGAUAAGAAUUAAGAAAAAUAUCAACUAGGUUAUCAUUAGUCAAUCCAAUACCAAAGUCUCCAAACUGACAUUAUAAGAAUUGUAUGUCAGACACUGAGGAGAAUUACUAAUGAGAUUUUGGGCGUGAAAGGGUUAACCUCUGGCUGCCAAAUUUUUCUGUCGUUUGGAUUUUGAGAGGCUACGAAAAUUUAAGAUUGACUUUUCCUGAACCAGUUCCCUAAACUCCAAUAAGUGACCAAGACAGAAUUUCUCCUAACAAUGUCAAUACAAUAUCAGGCAGACAAGGGAUGAGAAUAAAGAGUUAUUUUAAAUCAGGAGA